GUCUCUUUGAUAGUUUUUAAUAGAGAGUUGGGCCUGCUCGGUGAUUAAUUUUAACAGCUGCGGUAUUAUAACUGUACUAAGGUAGCAUAAUAAUUUGCUUUAUAAAUUGAGGCUAGAAUGAAUGGUUUGACGAAAAUUAAACUGUCUCUUACUUAUUUAUUAGAAAUUAAUUUUUAUAGUGAAAAAGCUUAAAUAAUUUAAAGGGACAAAAGGACCCUAUGGAGCUUUAUAUUAUUAUUAAAUUUAUUAUAUUGAUUUUUAUUUUAAAUAAUUUUGGGUGGGGUGAUCAAGGAAUAAAAUAUUAAAUUUUAUUAACUUCCUUAUAUAUUUAAAUAUAUAUAUAUUAAUAAACCAAAUUUUUUGCUUAAAAGAUAAGUUACCAUAGGGAUAACAGCGUAAUUUUUUUUGAGAGUUCAUAUUGAGAAAAAAGAUUGCGACCUCGAUGUUGGAUUAAAAUAACCUUAGGGUGUAGAGGCUUUUAAUAUGGGUAAAUCUGGUCUAGGGGGGAAAAUUUU
rnacentral:rRNA from 1 species